rnacentral:rRNA from 1 species
GAUGAACGCUAGCGAUAGGCUUAACACAUGCAAGUCGAGGGGCAUCACGAAUUAGCAAUAGUUUGGUGGCGACCGGCGCACGGGUGCGUAACACGGUAUACAACCUACCUUCAAUUGGGGAAUAACCUGGAGAAAUUUGGACUAAUACCCCAUAGUAAGCAGAGGAGGCAUCUUUUUUGUUUUAAAGAUUUAUUGAUUGGAGAUGGGUAUGCGUAGGAUUAGCUAGUUGGUAAGGUAACGGCUUACCAAGGCAACGAUCCUUAGGGGUUCUGAGAGGAAGGUCCCCCACACUGGUACUGAGACACGGACCAGACUCCUACGGGAGGCAGCAGUGAGGAAUAUCGGUCAAUGGUCGAGAGACUGAACCAGCCAAGUCGCGUGAAGGAAGACGGCUCUAUGAGUUGUAAACUUCUUUUGUACAGGAGUAAAGUGAGACACGUGUGUUUUAUUGCAAGUACUGUACGAAUAAGCAUCGGCUA